GACAGAGGGUGCAAACGUUGUUCGGAAUACUGGGCGUAAAGCGUGUGUAGGCGGUCUCAUAAGUCGGGUGUGAAAGCCCCGGGCUCAACCCGGGAAGUGCACUCGAAACUGCGAGGCUAGAGUACUGGAGAGGUUGGUGGAAUUCUCGGUGUAGAGGUGAAAUUCGUAGAUAUCGAGAGGAACACCGGUGGCGAAGGCGGCCAACUGGACAGAUACUGACGCUGAGACACGAAAGCGUGGGGAGCAAACAGG
rnacentral:rRNA from 1 species